rnacentral:rRNA from 1 species
UACGUAGGGUGCGAGCGUUAAUCGGAAUUACUGGGCGUAAAGCGUGCGCAGGCGGUUCGCUGUGUCCGAUGUGAAAGCCCCGGGCUUAACCUGGGAAUGGCAUUGGAAACUGGCUGGCUUGGAGUGCGGCAGAGGGGGGUGGAAUUCCGGCGUGUAGCAGUGAAAUGCGUAGAGAUGCGGAGGAACACGAUGGCGAAGGCAGCCCCCUGGGUCGACACUGACGCUCAUGCACGAAAGCGUGGGGAGCAAACAGG